AUCGUUCAAUUUAAGUUAGUCUUAAAUCGGAAGUAGGUCUUUUGACUGAAGGAACGCAUG
rnacentral:ncRNA from 10 species